rnacentral:rRNA from 1 species
CCUACGGGCGGCAGCAGUGGGGAAUCUUCCGCAAUGGACGAAAGUCUGACGGAGCAACGCCGCGUGAACGAAGAAGGUCUUCGGAUUGUAAAGUUCUGUGAUUCGGGACGAAAGGGUAAAUAGUGAAUAACUAUAGACAUUGACGGUACCGAAAAAGCAAGCCACGGCUAACUACGUGCCAGCAGCCGCGGUAAUACGUAGGUGGCAAGCGUUGUCCGGAAUUAUUGGGCGUAAAGCGCGCGCAGGCGGUUUCUUAAGUCCAUCUUAAAAGCGUGGGGCUCAACCCCAUGAGGGGAUGGAAACUGGGAAGCUGGAGUAUCGGAGAGGAAAGUGGAAUUCCUAGUGUAGCGGUGAAAUGCGUAGAGAUUAGGAAGAACACCGGUGGCGAAGGCGACUUUCUAGACGAAAACUGACGCUGAGGCGCGAAAGCGUGGGGAGCAAACAGGAUUAGAUACCCUUGUAGUC